CAGAUAUUGUUCCAACUAUACCAAAUCAGGGGACAUAAAAUACAGCCAAAAAAUUAAGGGUGUAUGACUAAUUCAGUCAUCAAACUGUUGUAGACAAGGUUCGCCCUUGUGAAUGGUAUAAAGAAGAAUUUAAAGAUUGUAGGAGCAUUAGAGCUCGUAUGCACCAGUAUUUUGUUUAUGGCGAAAGUAUAGAUUGUUCACAGUGGAAGACUGAUUAUCAAAACUGUAUGUUGUUUAGGAAUAAGAAAGACAUAAAGGCCUUGAUGGCGUUGCCUCCUCAUGUUUGGUACUACCGGAAGGUAUAAAAUGCCGUUACAGAGGUUGCUUUCCCUAUAGAAAAAAUUAUCGUUCUUUUAAUGAACGAGUGUUCGUCAAUUCCAAAAG